rnacentral:lncRNA from 1 species
UCGGAUUUGACGGAUUGGGUUUAAUCGGGUUGCGGGUGCAUCUACACGGUUCGUGCGGGUUAUGAGAUUGACCAUAUUUUUAGGCCCAAUAAGAUUUUUUUGCCUUUUGAAACAGUUUUAAUAUACUUAUAAAUUUAAAACUAAGUAAACUUAAUAUUAAUAAAUUUGUAAUAUACCAAAUUAUAUAAAAUUUAAAUAAAAUAUUUACUCAUUAGGCUCGAAUAAGUAAAUUUAACAUUAGAGAACAAAAAAAAAUCAUUACUUCUAUCAACAUAUGAAUAUAAUUUAAACAGGUUAAUAUGAAAGCAACUAUUCAUCUUUUAUUGUAUAUCUAUGUAUCCAAUAUUUUACAGAACUUUUAUGAUAUAUCUUUUUCAAUUCCAAGAAUGUUGCUAUGCAACCAUAUCUUCAUGCGCGCCUGUCAGUAACAUUCUAUUAAAAAGAGUAUAUGUAUGAACUAGCUAAAGGUGACCAAUUAGAAAGUACCAGCAGAGUAUAUGUAUGAACUAGCUAAAAGAACAAAGUGUAAAACCAUAUAUAUAAUUGAGCUUUUUAAAGUUCAUGAACCAUCAACAAGUAAUAAACAAAGAACAAAGAACAAAGUGGAAGUUAUAAUUUUUAUAAAUAAUAUAUGAACUAGCUAAAAGAACAAAGAAAAAAACUGCAAUUAAGAAAUCCAGAAACACAGAUGUAGCACCUUCAGGUUUUAGCUUUAUUUAUCCCUAUAUAACAUUGUAAAAAUGCCAGCCAUUUCACACUACAUGGAAUUGACCCUUAAAUUAACAUGGUAUAAAAAUCUCUUUGGACACUCCAAAAGGUAAAUCAAACAUCCUGUUUAGCUACUGUCAUGCCAAAUAUUUUGGAAUCCAAAUCUUGAUUUAACGAAGAGUGAUAAAGUAGCUUUUGCACUGAGUUGGAUAUUUUACUGUAAAGGAGAGAAUAACUUUAUAGACCAUUCUUUUACCUAGCUUAAACAAUCAAACAACACAUUCAAAUGAAAUGUCAAGCCCAUACAAAAUUGUGAACUAACCAAUCAUCCAUGCUACUUUGACCUUG